UUCUUGACUGGAGAUAAAAACUCUGGACCUACAGUCAUGCCACGCCAGAUGCUGACACGUUGAUUAGUAAGCCCUGCCCUGUUCUCUAUCAAGGAUUUUAUUGGAUAAAUCACCGGUGAUUGGCCACGAUUCGUCGAGCAAUUAAAAUGCAGCCUGUAAGAACGAGGGAUGCCCAGGACCUCAAAGUUCUUUCUUUCUGUUCUCAUAUUCAUACCCAUGAGAAUAAAAAAAUAUGUUAUUUUAAUAUAUUUUUAAAUAAUAAAUAUCUUAAAAAAAUAAUCAUUAUUCAGU
rnacentral:lncRNA from 1 species